rnacentral:tRNA from 1 species
UCUCGGGUAGUAUAGUGGUGAGUAUCCCCGCCUGUCACGCGGGAGACUGGGGUUCAAUUCUCCGCUCGAAAG